rnacentral:rRNA from 1 species
AGUGAACGCUGGCGGUAGGCCUAACACAUGCAAGUCGAACGGCAGCACAGUAAGAGCUUGCUCUUACGGGUGGCGAGUGGCGGACGGGUGAGGAAUACAUCGGAAUCUACUUUUUCGUGGGGGAUAACGUAGGGAAACUUACGCUAAUACCGCAUACGACCUACGGGUGAAAGCAGGGGAUCUUCGGACCUUGCGCGAUUGAAUGAGCCGAUGUCGGAUUAGCUAGUUGGCGGGGUAAAGGCCCACCAAGGCGACGAUCCGUAGCUGGUCUGAGAGGAUGAUCAGCCACACUGGAACUGAGACACGGUCCAGACUCCUACGGGAGGGAGCAGUGGGGAAUAUUGGGCAAUGGGCGCAAGCCUGAUCCAGCCAUACCGCGUGGGUGAAGAAGGCCUUCGGGUUGUAAAGCCCUUUUGUUGGGAAAGAAAAGCAGCAGGUUAAUACCCCGCUGUUCUGACGGUACCCAAAGAAUAAGCACCGGCUAACUUCGUG